UACGGAGGGGGCUAGCGUUGUUCGGAAUUACUGGGCGUAAAGCGUGCGUAGGCGGUCCCGCAAGUCCGCUGUGAAAGCCCCGAGCCUUAACUUGGGAACUGCAGUGGAAACUAUGGGACUUGGAAUCCGGCAGAGGGGGGGUGGGAAUGCCACGUGUAGCAGUGAAAUGCGUAGAGAUGUGGCGGAACACCGAUGGCGAAGGCAGCCCCCCUGGGCUGAGAUUGACGCUCAGGCACGAAAGCGUGGGGAGCAAACAGG
rnacentral:rRNA from 1 species